GUGGGCUGCCUGUCUAUGUAUAGCAUUAUACAGUGAAACUGCGAAUGGCUCAUUAAAUCAGUUAUCGUUUAUUUGAUAGUACCUUACUACUUGGAUAACCGUGGUAAUUCUAGAGCUAAUACAUGCUUAAAAUCCCGACUGUUUGGAAGGGAUGUAUUUAUUAGAUAAAAAAUCAAUGCCUUCGGGCUCUUUGAUGAUUCAUAAUAACUUUUCGAAUCGCAUGGCCUUGUGCUGGCGAUGGUUCAUUCAAAUUUCUGCCCUAUCAACUUUCGAUGGUAGGAUAGUGGCCUACCAUGGUUUCAACGGGUAACGGGGAAUAAGGGUUCGAUUCCGGAGAGGGAGCCUGAGAAACGGCUACCACAUCCAAGGAAGGCAGCAGGCGCGCAAAUUACCCAAUCCCGACACGGGGAGGUAGUGACAAUAAAUAACGAUACAGGGCCCUUUCGGGUCUUGUAAUUGGAAUGAGUACAAUGUAAAUACCUUAACGAGGAACAAUUGGAGGGCAAGUCUGGUGCCAGCAGCCGCGGUAAUUCCAGCUCCAAAAGCGUAUAUUAAAGUUGUUGCAGUUAAAAAGCUCGUAGUUGAACCUUGGGCUUGGCUGGCCGGUCCAUCUUUUUUGAUGCGUACUGGACCCAGCCGAGCCUUUCCUUCUGGCUAGCCUUUUUGGCGAACCAGGACUUUUACUUUGAAAAAAUUAGAGUGUUCAAAGCAGGCCUUUGCUCGAAUAUAUUAGCAUGGAAUAAUAGAAUAGGACGUUAUGGUUCUAUUUUGUUGGUUUCUAGGACCAUCGUAAUGAUUAAUAGGGACGGUCGGGGGUAUCAGUAUUCAGUAGUCAGAGGUGAAAUUCUUGGAUUUACUGAAGACUAACUACUGCGAAAGCAUUUACCAAGGACGUUUUCAUUAAUCAAGAACGAAAGUUAGGGGAUCGAAGAUGAUCAGAUACCGUCGUAGUCUUAACCAUAAACUAUGCCGACUAGGGAUCGGUUGUUGUUCUUUUAUUGACGCAAUCGGCACCUUACGAGAAAUCAAAGUCUUUGGGUUCUGGGGGGGAAUAUGGUCGCAAGGCUGAAACUUAAAGGAAUUGACGGAAGGGCACCCCCCGGGAAUGGAACCUGCGGGUUAAUUUGACUCAACACGGGGAAAAUCACCCGGGCCCAAACCAAUAAGGAUUGACAAAUGAGAACUCUUUCUUGUUUUUGUGGGGGGGGGGGGGGAGGGCCCUCUUUUUUGGGGGGGGGGGAAUUGUUUGGGCU
rnacentral:rRNA from 1 species